rnacentral:lncRNA from 1 species
UUAAGUUCAGUUUGUUUUGGGUUUGUUGUUUGUGUGGGAGUUGCUGCUUGUUUCUCUAAAUUGAUGACUUUGCCUCUUCAUGGAAUUGCUGGAGGUUGAGUGAGUUUCAAUUUCUUUAGGGUGUGGUUGCUUUGUUUUGUGUCUCUGUAUUGGAAUUUUAUUGGUGUUUCGUUAUGUCUUGGUAUGUUUGGCUUUUUACUCCUAUU